GACUAUUAUAAUGCCACGUGGCGAGAUUGUUGGAAAGGUCUAGAGCUAUGACAAUGCCACGUGGUUAUAUUGGUCUUUGUCGGAGAAGAUGAUCUUUUAUUACAUAAAGUGUGUGUGUUACGGUUAAACGGAAUCAGUUUUGAGGGACCUAAAGUGCACGCGCGGGGCGGAUGCUGACGGGUUCUCCUUUUGUUCCGGAAAACAGCAACUAAUCAGGAACAAGCCGUGUGGCAGCCCGUGUGUCGCUUCGGCCGUAUCGAUGCGACGGAGGUUUUCCUCCGGCGAGGGGAAGAAGCCGACGAGGCUUGGGAGAACAUGGUGGCUCGACCUAGCGCACUCGCCGUCGACAGGUUUCUUAAUUACAGCAACGAUCACCAUUUGGAAGGGGACGCUAUUCUAUUACCGGAGAUCUCCGCUGUUCCGCCGCUUCCAGCCGCCGUGGCAGCGAUUUCGCGGUAAAAAAAUAUAAAACAGGAAAUGAAGCAAUGGAUAUGGUGUGGAAAAAAGGACUAUUAUAAUGCCACGUGGCGAGAUUGUUGGAAAGGUCUAGAGCUAUGACAAUGCCACGUGGUUAUAUUGGUCUUUGUCGGAGAAGAUGAUCUUUUAUUACAUAAAGUGUGUGUGUUACGGUUAAACGGAAUCAGUUUUGAGGGACCUAAAGUGCACGCGCGGGGCGGAUGCUGACGGGUUCUCCUUUUGUUCCGGUAUACUAGUACUUAGCUACGAUGUAGUGCGGAAUAGUGUACGAUUAUACGGUGGAUAGUCAGUUAGACCAUGAUUAACCCGGG
rnacentral:lncRNA from 1 species